rnacentral:rRNA from 1 species
UCGAGAAUUUUUCACAAUGGGGGAAACCCUGAUGGAGCGACGCCGCGUGGGGGAUGAAUGGCUUCGGCCCGUAAACCCCUGUCAUUCGGGAUCAAUGCAACUGGAUGAAUAAUUUAGUUGUUGAUAGUACCGGAAGAGGAAGGGACGGCUAACUCUGUGCCAGCAGCCGCGGUAAUACAGAGGUCCCAAGCGUUGUUCGGAUUCACUGGGCGUAAAGGGUGCGUAGGCGGUCAGGAAAGUCUGAUGUGAAAUCUCGGAGCCUAACUCCGAAACUGCAUUGGAAACUAUCUGGCUUGAGAGUUGGAGGGGAGACUGGAAUUCUCGGUGUAGCAGUGAAAUGCGUAGAUAUCGAGAGGAACACCAGUGGCGAAGGCGAGUCUCUGGACAACAUCUGACGCUGAGGCACGAAAGCCAGGGGAGCAAACG